GAUGAACGCUGGCGGCGUGCCUAAUACAUGCAAGUCGAGCGAACAGACGAGGAGCUUGCUCCUCUGACGUUAGCGGCGGACGGGUGAGUAACACGUGGAUAACCUACCUAUAAGACUGGGAUAACUUCGGGAAACCGGAGCUAAUACCGGAUAACAUGUUGAACCGCAUGGUUUAACAGUGAAAGACGGUCUUGCUGUCACUUAUAGAUGGAUCCGCGCCGCAUUAGCUAGUUUGUAAGGUAACGGCUUACCAAGGCAACGAUGCGUAGCCGACCUGAGAGGGUGAUCGGCCGCAUUGGAACUGGUACUCGGUCCGGGCUCCUACCGAAGGCAGCUGUCGAGACUCUUCCCCCAUAGCCGAAAUCCUGACGUUGCACCACCGCGUGGGUGAGGAAGCUCUUCGCAUCGUAAAACUCUGUUGUUGGGAAAUACCAAAUGUGUAAGUAACUAUACACGUCUUGACAGUACCUAAACAGAAAGUCACGGCUAACUACGUG
rnacentral:rRNA from 1 species